rnacentral:rRNA from 1 species
AUUGAACGCUGGCGGCAGGCCUAACACAUGCAAGUCGAGCGGAGCGGCGGCGGGGUGAGUCAUGCCUAGGAAUCUGCCUGGUCGUGGGGGGUAACGUCCGGAAACGGGCCCAAAUACCGCAUACUAUCAGAUUAGACUAGGUCGGAUUAGCUGGUUGGUGGGGUAAAGGCCUACCACGGCGACGACGCGUAACUGGUCUGAGAGGAUGAUCCGUCACACGGGAACGGAGACGAGGUCCAGCAUCCUAAGUGAGGCAGCAGGGGGGAUUAUUGGACAAGGGGCAAAGGCUUGUUCCAGCCAUGCCGCGUGUGUGAAGAGGGUCUUCGGAUUGUACAGCACUUUGAGUUGGGAGGCGUUACCAACAGAAGAAGCACCGGCUAACUACGUGCCAGCAGCCGCGGUAAUUC